rnacentral:snRNA from 1 species
UUACUGCAGGUGCUUAGAGCUAUAAAUGUCCCUCUUAGGACUGAUUUUAAAGUCUCCCAGCAGUUCGUGGUUUCCCCAAAUGUGGAAAACCCGACUGUAUACUUUGUGGUAGUGGCGGUCUGCAUUUGUGCUCUCCCUUA